UGACCUCAAAUCAGGUAGGACUACCCGCUGAACUUAAGCAUAUCAAUAACGGAGGA
rnacentral:rRNA from 1 species